CCUCCUCCUUCCUCUCUUCGCUCUUCCCGGCUAAGGUAGGGGCCGACAAGAUCCGAACAGCUAGAGGACGCCCACGACCACCAUGGCACGGUUGGUCGGCAACAUGAGGGAAUCCGAAGGAAGAGAGAACAACACCGAGAUCUCUGAUCUUGUGUAAAGGGGUCUCCUUCUUCUGAAGCAGAGAGAUCGAGUGCAGUACAAGAAUAACGAAGUAUGUCUGCCUGUUAAAACCCUAAAAUUGCAGGCAUAAAGGCUCUCCGUGCUUCAUUUUCUCCUUCUCGGCCUCUUCGCUCGCUGGCGCCGAAGCCUUUUCUUUUCCCCCGACUUUCUCCUUCUCGCGACUUCGGACUUCACGCGACCGAGACCGGCGAUUUCUUCUUCUCUCGGUGGCGCCGGCGAAGAGCGGACCUUGGAGCGUUGAGAGGAAGAGAGGUGGUUCUUUCUGGGAAGCAGAGACUGGUAUUUUGGUCCCGGCCACCAAAGCUCUGUUGGAUCGAUCUCUUCUUCGUAUCAGUGAUCGUCUCCGGUGAUUGAAGGGUGCAGAGAGGAUGCGAUGUGCUUAUUUUAGAUACUGGAUUGGGAAGUGCAGAGAAUCAAGCAAGGGUCAAGGAGUUGCUUCAUGUGGAGGAAUCAAAACUAGAGGAGGAUGAGGGAAAUACCACUCCAGUAGUG